rnacentral:lncRNA from 1 species
GCGGUCCGGUCCCGCGCCGUCCGCUCGCGUCGCCCGCGCAGAACCAGCGGCGGGCGAGGGGCGAGCGGGCUUAGGCGAGCCCGAGGAGGCGCAGGCCUGGCCCGGGCCCCGCAGGACUGCGUGUCUGUUCCCAGCACUCUGCAAGACUAGAAAAGGAGAAGGAACCUGUCCAGAAUCCCUGCAGGACAAGAAAAGGAGGGAAAAUCUCAACAUGGAAAAACUCUGCAAGGAAAAUGAAGGAAAGCCGGAAAGUGAGGGAAAGCCAGAGGAUGAAGUAGAGCCUGACAAUGAAGGAAAGUCGGAUGAGGAAGAAACACCAGAAGUGGAGGGGAAGUCAGCACAUGAGGGAAAGCUCCAGAACGAGGGACAACCAGAAGAUGAGGGAAAACCAGAAGACGAAGGGAAGCAAGAGAAGCAGGGCAAGUCCGAAGAUGAGGGAAAACCACCUGGUGAGGGCACGAUGGAGUCCCAGGCAAAGCCAGAGAGUGAGCCAAGGGCUGCCGAAAAGCGCCCUGCUGAAGAUUACGUACCCCGGAAAGCCAAAAGGAAAACAGACAGGGUGACAGAUGAUUC